GUCGAGCGGAUGAGGGUAGCUUGCUACCUGAUUCAGCGGCGGACGGGUGAGUAAUGCCUAGGAAUCUGCCCGAUAGUGGGGGAUAACGUUCCGAAAGGAACGCUAAUACCGCAUACGUCCUACGGGAGAAAGCGGGGGAUCUUCGGACCUCGCGCUAUCGGAUGAGCCUAGGUCGGAUUAGCUAGUUGGUGAGGUAAAGGCUCACCAAGGCGACGAUCCGUAGCUGGUCUGAGAGGAUGAUCAGCCACACUGGAACUGAGACACGGUCCAGACUCCUACGGGAGGCAGCAGUGGGGAAUAUUGGACAAUGGGCGAAAGCCUGAUCCAGCCAUGCCGCGUGUGUGAAGAAGGUCUUCGGAUUGUAAAGCACUUUAAGUUGGGAGGAAGGGUUGUAACCUAAUACGUUGCAACUUUGACGUUACCGACAGAAUAAGCACCGGCUAACUUCGUGCCAGCAGCCGCGGUAAUACGAAGGGUGCAAGCGUUAAUCGGAAUUACUGGGCGUAAAGCGCGCGUAGGUGGUUUGAUAAGUUGGAUGUGAAAGCCCCGGGCUCAACCUGGGAAUUGCAUCCAAAACUGUCUGACUAGAGUACGGUAGAGGGUAGUGGAAUUUCCUGUGUAGCGGUGAAAUGCGUAGAUAUAGGAAGGAACACCAGUGGCGAAGGCGACUAC
rnacentral:rRNA from 1 species